UACGGGGGGGGCAAGCGUUGUUCGGAAUUACUGGGCGUAAAGGGCUCGUAGGCGGCCAACUAAGUCGGAUGUGAAAUCCCCAGGCUUAACCUGGGAACUGCAUCCGAUACUGGAUGGCUUGAAUUCGGGAGAGGGAUGCAGAAUUCCAGGUGUAGCGGUGAGAUGCGUAGAUAUUGGGAGGAACAUCAGUAGCGAAGGCGACUUUCUGGGUCACACCUGACGCUGAGGUACGAAAGCGUGGGGAGCAAACGGG
rnacentral:rRNA from 1 species